GGAGGAUGCGAGCGUUAUCCGGAUUUAUUGGGUUUAAAGGGAGCGCAGACGGGGGAUUAAGUCAGUUGUGAAAGUUUGCGGCUCAACCGUAAAAUUGCAGUUGAUACUGGUUCCCUUGAGUGCAGUUGAGGCAGGCGGAAUUCGUGGUGUAGCGGUGAAAUGCAUAGAUAUCACGAAGAACUCCGAUUGCGAAGGCAGUGCACCAAGCUGUAACUGACAUUGAUGCUCGAAAGUGUGGGUAUCAAACAGGAUUAGAUACCCUGGUAGUCCACACGGUAAACGAUGAAUACUCGCUGUUGGCGAUACAAUGUCAGCGGCCAAGCGAAAGCAUUAAGUAUUCCACCUGGGGAGU
rnacentral:rRNA from 1 species